CACCUCGUGGCCUAGCGGCUAGCGCUCCCGUUUAAGAAAUUCGCAUCGCGGGUUCGACCCCCACUGGGGUCA